UCUCAGAAAAUCUCCUUCCUUUAAUCGGUUGGAUGGGUUUAUUUUUCGUUGCAGCAGUGAUAUCGACAUGUGCUAUAGUCAUAGCAGUUUAUUUUAAAGAA